rnacentral:lncRNA from 12 species
UAUGACAUCAGAGCUUGGAGAUUUGCUCACGGGUAUGUGUUAGAAGAGAUGGAAACAGGACUGACUCACAGAUAACUAUAGAAAAAUAAGUAAAGAGAGGUAGAGAAGCUUCUAGUUCAGAUUUAUUUGCCCCUUUCAUGCCUUGGUCUUGAGGUAAGGCAUUUUGUUAGAUAGGAGAAGCAGAUGUAGAAAUCUUGCUUUGGAUUCCUUUUUCGUGCUCUUGAGGGGAACCACUUCUAUGCAGAAAUAACUCCUAGGCAUGCAUCAUCCAGCCUAGUGUAGAAGGUGCAGAGGGACACGUGGAGGAAGAGUGGGCCAGGCCCUAGUGGCAUGGCACAGACUUGGCCAAGAUUAUUACAGCAAACUUCAGGUCCUACACUCGGAGUUCACAAGGAGCCCACAUGCUCCCACAUGUGCACUCAGACACACCUAUGGAAAGGGCACGGAAGGUGGAUGGAAGGCAGAAAAGUCUGAGGCUGAAGAUGUUACCGGAGCCCAAGUUCGACUGCCUGUUACUCGAAAUGCCAAGUCGCAAGAGAUGAGUGUUGACUCGAGUAUGAGCUUUAUUCAGGAGGCCAGCCCCCUGGGGAGAAGAAUAUUGGAAUCAUACACAAUCAAAGGUUAUGAUUUACAUUUUUCUGAAAGAAAUCAAGAUCAG